CUGCCUACGAGUUUAGAAUGAUUUCGAGCUAGUGUUCAAAGAAAAUAACAAGAAACAGAGGGUAAAGAGAAACCGAAAAACCGCUGUCGCUGGUGGUUAGCAGUGAGAAAACUGGUACAAAAGGGUUCGCUGCGUAGUAAAGCUGGGUUUUUCAACGAAUUUUCAAGCUACCAUUACACGUAAGGUAACGCGUACUGUGAGAAGCAACGAAAGAGAAACAGGACGGUGCGGUGUUCGUGUCUCGCGAGUUUGCGGUUCGCGCGUGAUAAUAAACAUUCACCGGAAGCAGCGGGGAAAAUGCCAACAGCGAAAAACUUUCUUCUACGGAGGAUCAAAGUGCGAUCUCGGGGGUGGGAGGGAAAGCUCAAAGGGACCUCGGCGACACGCUCGUGGAAACGUGAAACCACGGCCGACUUCCACCAUUUUGUUAAGAAAUAAUUGUACAAAAUGCGUAGCUUUCACCGUGACAAGAAAAAGAAUUCAAUUGACAACAUCGACCUCGUCGAGACUGACAUCCAACUAACAUCUGUCAUCUGAAUACAUCAUCAGAGUGACAUGUCCAAUGCAAAUCGUGUCAUCCAGCGGUUUCCUCUAUGUCAAAGGUCAUCGCAUCGUUCCUGCUAUAAUGAAUUAACCUUUAACAUCCAAGCGGUACCACUACCCUCGGACACGUUUCCUUUUCCUCAGCAGGCAAUUUGAUAAAACGAUCGAGUCUCAAUGCGGCAUUAAUCGUAAAAGGAAAUUAGUUUGCAGCUAUUUUAAAAAGUAAACCGCAAGUUUCUCAUAGCACGUGCCGCGUGAGAAAUGUAGAAGGUAACGUAAGGGUUUGUUUUUCGCCGUUCUUCAACCUGUAAACGACCACUUCAGACAUCGAUCGGAGCUACGACUCGCGUCGUUAGCCACAAAGUGACAGCGUGUGACGAGCAACUUGCCACUCGAAACUGCUGCAAGCAUGUUUAAUCCUUAAUUGGUGACGCGCGUUAUUCCGGAGAACGCUCGAGAGCUUGGAUUUUCGUAAACAC